ACGGAGGAUGCAAGCGUUAUCCGGAUUUAUUGGGUUUAAAGGGUGCGUAGGCGGCACGCCAAGUCAGCGGUGAAAUUUCCGGGCUCAACCCGGACUGUGCCGUUGAAACUGGCGAGCUAGAGUACACAAGAGGCAGGCGGAAUGCGUGGUGUAGCGGUGAAAUGCAUAGAUAUCACGCAGAACCCCGAUUGCGAAGGCAGCCUGCUAGGGUGAAACAGACGCUGAGGCACGAAAGCGUGGGUAUCGAACAG
rnacentral:rRNA from 1 species